rnacentral:rRNA from 1 species
GUCCACGCCCUAAACGAUGUCAACUAGGUUUCGGGAGCGCAAGUUCUUGGUACCGCAGCUAACGCGUGAAGUUGACCGCCUGGGGAGUACGGUCGCAAGAUUAAAACUCAAAGGAAUUGACGGGGACCCGCACAAGCGGUGGAUGAUGUGGAUUAAUUCGAUGCAACGCGAACAACCUUACCUACCCUUGACAUGUCCGGAAGCCCGGUGAAAGCUGGGGGUGCUCGCAAGAGAACCGGAACACAGGUGCUGCAUGGCUGUCGU